rnacentral:rRNA from 1 species
UACGAGAGGCCCAAACGUUAUUCGGAAUUACUGGGCUUAAAGAGUUCGUAGGCGGCGCAGAAAGUAGGGUGUGAAAGCCCUCGGCUUAACCGAGGAAUUGCGCUCUAAACUACUGUGCUUGAGGACCUAGAGGUGAGCAGAACUGAUGGUGGAGCGGUGAAAUGCGUUGAUAUCAUCAGGAAUACCGGAGGCGAAGGGCGGCUCACUGGGGGUUUUCUGACGCUGAGGAACGAAAGCCAGGGGAGCGAACGGG